rnacentral:rRNA from 1 species
UUACAAUGUAGAGUUUGAUCCUGGCUCAGGAUGAACGCUAGCUACAGGCUUAACACAUGCAAGUCGAGGGGCAGCAUUGAGAUAGCUUGCUAUUUCAGAUGGCGACCGGCGCACGGGUGAGUAACGCGUAUCCAACCUUCCCUAUAGUAGAGAAUAGCCCGGCGAAAGUCGGAUUAAUGCUCUAUAUGUUCUAUUGAUGGCAUCAGAGAUUGAACAAAGAAUUUCGCUAUAGGAUGGGGAUGCGUCUGAUUAGCUUGUUGGC